GCGAAAAAGCUACAUAAGCUUCAUUCCAAAUGUAAUACAUGUAUAUUGGAUCUAUAAAGAAGGCUAUAUCGUCAUUACAUGGCUCAGGCCUCAAAACAAUUUUACUUGCCAGUGUGCCAAGCAUCUAUCAGUAAUAUUUCCAAACUGCGAUAGUAAACACAUCGCAAUGUGAAGCAUGGCAGUGUCAAAAUAGCCAAGAUAUUAUAACAUGCUCUCAAACUUGAAAAAUACGAUAAUAAGACUACAUAAGAGACCUAAUUGCUUAGAAUAACACUUUAGUAUCACCAUCUAAAAUAGUACAUCAUCAUAAAUGAUCUAUCCUCUCAUCAGUAUGUACUAUACCAUCUGCCAUGGCUGGAAAAGACCAUACACAUCAUAAUCAAUCACCUGGAGGUAAUCUGCAUGCAAAUAGUCCAUACAUCUCUCUUGGUGUUGCUCGUGAUCAACACAAGAUGUACCAGGAGUAGUCGCUACUGCCACAUCAAAAUUAAGAAUCAAUUAACUAUAAAACACCUCUAAUCACUCCAACAAUGCUUAGCUGAUGGGGGUUAGAACCACCCAAGGAGAAGAAUCUAGCAGCAGGGAUCUCUCACCUUGAAAUGUUACGGCAGUGCAGAGUGGGUAAAGGCUAUGCAACAUUGGUCCUUUGAAGAUCCUGGCCAUGACGUUAUUCAUCCACUUUCAUGAGAAAAUUCUUGAGCAUCUUGCUGGAACCCUACCAGUGGGACGAGACCGCCGGCAACAAGUGCACCCAUCUGCUUUAAUCUCUGCUAGUGAAGAUAAAAGGAAUAAGAGACUCGCGGUCAGGUGCACGAACAGCUAAUCGUAAAGUGAGGCAAAGAGAGUAGAAAUGAGUGGUGAAUAUCUGCAGGGCAUCAUUUCAUGCGAAAUAUAUCAAAAUAUAAACAAGCUGUCAUUGUUGGAUUUAGCAACCGGUAAAUUUAAUUAUUUUUGGUAAGCUAACGAUGGUAAUUACCAAGGGUGAUACAUCAAGUAUACUAAAUAGGAAAGCCUGUAGAAAAUGAGAGUAGGAAGCUUGUAGGUACCAUACUAAAUAGAUGGUCUACUGUAAUCAACUAGGUAUAAACUGGGCAUCAAUGACCUGCCACAUGAAAUAAGCCAUUGAAAUGGCAGAAACAGAGUAUAUAUAAUUCGUAGAUGUUGAGGGCAGGGGAAAUAUAGUACGCAUAAGAACACUUUCAUGCAAAGAUCUAGACCGAAAAUAAAAAUAAAGGGAAAUCAGGGUAUACACCAGAGUAGGCCAUGAAAAACACAAAGAAGAUCAGCAUCAAAUAGAACACACCUCGACCAAAGAAACGGCUGACCAACAGCAGGAACCGGAACGUCGCAGAUCCACCAACCUAGGAGAUCCUGGACGUUGCAGAAAAAAGGCAGAAAAUGUAAGCAGCAAAAUAGAUGCUGAUGAAAGGAAAUAAAACAGGUGAGUUAACAUAAUUUUCAUAGUAAGCAGCAACCUAGGCGACAAAUAAAACCACAGAAGGACCGAGAAGAACGUACGUUUAAACACAUGUUGUGUUCUCUUAUUUCUUUUAUUUUUCAAUGCCUACAAUAAAUAAAUGGCGGGACAAUACCUUAUAUUGCCUAGCAUGAGCGCAUAUAUCAAUGCUUGCAAUAAAAAAAUGAUGCAACAUCAAAAGAAAACAAAGAUUGAGGAACCGAAAGUAUAACGAGAACACCUCGUGUCUGCAUUUCAUCAGAUAUGUAGUAUGUAUUUAAUUCAUACUUACAGUCCUGAAUGCCUCUUUCAUGUGGCCAUUCUCCACCCUCAAAUCCAUGUCCAAACCACCAAAAUCAGCAUCAUACACGUUCUUAACCUAUAUGUUGUCUAUUCAGCAAGGAAAGAUCAUCCUAUUUUGAAACAAAAUGCAAUAAUUUUGAGCUAAAUCUUGGAUUCGCCAUUCUUUUCAGAGAAUGAAAGUACUGCAAGCAAAUACAUUUAAUCCUAUAGAGAUCUUAGAACACAUUUUUUCCAAGCAUGUAUGGUUUGAGCAGUACGAUCGAGUAUGUGUUGCUUAUUCACCUUGGCUCCAUUGCAUGCUGCUCCAAGAAAGUGCAGCCCCAUAUCCUUGCUGCUCCAAACCCGAGCAACCACCAAACCAGCCUCCUCCACCUUCCAGCGCAUGGCACGCCCAAGAGCCCCAGCCUCCUCGCAGCUCCCGAUGGAGGAGCGGAUCGAGCCACCGCCAACCGCCAGAUCUCGCCCAACCUCGCAGACGUAGGCCGACGCCGGCGUGAGACCUUCUCCCAUUAGCCCACGCACCUGCAUCACCUCUUUCCUCUCUCCUUCUCCCUCCUCUCCUUCCUUCUCUCUCU
rnacentral:lncRNA from 1 species